UGAUGGCGACCGGCGCACGGGUGAGUAACACGUAUCCAACCUGCCGAUGACUCGGGGAUAGCCUUUCGAAAGAAAGAUUAAUACCCGAUGGCAUAGUUCUUCCGCAUGGUGGAACUAUUAAAGAAUUUCGGUCAUCGAUGGGGAUGCGUUCCGUUAGGUUGUUGGCGGGGUAACGGCCCACCAGGCCUUCGAUGGAUAGGGGUUCUGAGAGGAAGGUCCCCCACAUUGGAACUGAGACACGGUCCAAACUCCUACGGGAGGCAGCAUG
rnacentral:rRNA from 1 species